GCCGGGGUGGCGGAAGUGGUAGACGCAGGGGACUUAAAAUCCCCUGGGGGAAACCCCGUGCGGGUUCGAGUCCCGCCCCCGGCA
rnacentral:tRNA from 2 species